CAUAUGGACUAUGGUAGACCACAGCCAUUUUGAACAUGUCUUUCUGAAUUUUAUUGUACUGAAAUUAAAUUCAGUAGUUGCUAGCUUUCUUUCAUUGAAAGUUGUGGAAAGGAAACUACCAAUCAUGCUUAAGGAUUGAAAUCUAAGCUUUGGAAUCUGAGGGUUGAAUUUUAUUUUAUUUUUUAAUCAAAUUAAACAUGAUUCUUCUAUAUAAAGCAAGUUUGUGUUGGUUGUUUUUAUGCAUAUCUCAGAAAGGAGCAGAACACUAAAAUUAGAGAAGAAUGUGAUUAUCAAUGAUUCUUCUAUAUAAAACAAGUUUACCUUGGUUGUUAAAAUUUUGCAAUCACCUUUGUUGUUUCUAAUAAAGAUUGCUUAAACUUAGUAGCUAUAAUUUAGGCUAUUACAUGUAAUUCUUUCCUUGAGUUCGUCCUACUUGCCCACUUAUAUAUUCCUCAUCAAUAUGACAUCCACCAUGUUAUAUUCCUUAUCUAUAUGAAUAUCCACUUCUGAGUAUCAAGAACUUCCAUUCAUGGUUAUUUUCAUACUGGCAUCAGAAGUUUUCCUCGAAUCAACAUAACUUCUUGUUUUUGAGUGGCAGUGCCUUGCAAAUUAGAGAGGCACUUAGUUGCAGCUAGAUGUUCAGAGUCGUCUUCAUGAAUAGCAAGAGGUUCAUACUUCAGACUUGUUAGUUAUAUUCUCUUCAGAGUGUUCUCUGGCGUCAAAUUUCUUUCUAUUUACUUUACUGGUUCCAGACCCUGCUAAUUUGUCAUGUAUCUUUAAUUGAUGUUUCAAAAAGGAAUAAUACGUUUUCUUUCUUCCUUUUUGAUUGCUGAGUCUACGACUUGUAUGAGUGAUGAUUCCUCAUCUUUCUUAAGGAUUGAGAAACGGCGAUAGUUUCCACAUCUGAAACAAUUGUUUGGCCUUGCAUCUGCUGGCAGCCUGGCACUGUUGAGCUUGGAAAUAUAGUUGAGUCACCUGUUCUUUAAACUGCAACUUCAGUUGUUCCUUUAGGAUGGAAUGAUGGACCAGGAGCGAAAGAUAGAGAACCUCAAAAAAUUGAUAUAUUGGUUUUUGGGUUGCAUCCAUGUACACUUGUUCAUGUUCAACUAAUUAUAUUGGUUUUUACUCAAUAAUGAUUAUAUAUAUAUAUAGAGUAUAGUAUAGAAGCUUAUGAUUUUUAUUA